CAAUGGGCCGAAACUGGCCCAUGAACCGGCCGAUCCUCUUCGUCCUCCUCGCGUGAACCACUCCGCCUCGGCCGCCUCGGUUCGUCUUCGUCCCCCACCACCGCUCCGCCUCGGUUCGUCUUCUUCGAUUCUCAUGCCAAUCUCCUCACAUUAAACACAAUCAGCCGCUCAACUCCCUUGGCCUGCCCAUAGUGGAGGUAGAUUUAAUUCAUAGUACAAUCUAGAACCGAUGAUUUUACUCCUCAUGAACCAUCGCUUCUCCUCCCCGCUAUAAAAAUCCUCCUCCCCUCGUCUUAUAAUGCAUCCAUCGUCAUGGUCGCCGAUCUACACAAGGAGCAGUGGCGAGCGGCCAAUGAUUCAUUCACGAUCUACACAAGGUUGUUUCUCCAUAUGAAGUUUGCAGGAAAAGUAUUGCAUCCGUGUUACAUCAAUCCAAUCGGCAUCUCCUGGUCAGCAAAAGGAAUAUCUCUGUAUUUAUGGCUGGAUUAGGUAUUUAGGUUUGUGAUCAGUCGUACCUUGAUUUCUUUGCCUGCCUAUUUGUUCGAGAUUUUCUACAACCCUCCAUGCUCCUGGCAUCAGACGCAAUCUCCCUUGAUUCCUUUGUACACUUCAGUGAUUAAGGCUACCCUUCCAAAUCAUUAGCCCACCAUGUGCUUUUUUCUGGCGUCCACUGCAUGCGACUGAACUGUUCGAUGAAAUGUGAAUGACGGCAUGAGGUUACGACAAUUGGUCAAUAUUGAGAUGCAGGGCUGCAAUCUGAACAUACGGCGAUUCGCCCCUACAAAGAACACCACAUCUUGGAUACCAAUAAUCAUUGUGUGUCGUCGGUUGAGGAUGUAUGUUUGACUUCAUCUACAAGUGACUUUAGACUUUUGAGCCAUGAAUCUAUUCUUCCCUGCUGUCUAAUAUCUACUUCCUGCAACUGUCGAAUGGUACUGGUUUAUACUGUCCUCAGCUCAACCUGGAACGUUUCAUGAAAUGGAAGUCGCGUACUGACUUUUGAUGGUGCCAUACCACACGUUUUU